rnacentral:other from 1 species
AGAGGAGGUGGCACCGGGACAGGAGGUGGCAAUGUGAGAGGAGGUGGCACCGCGAGAGAAGAUGACACAGGGACAGGAGGUGGCACUGCCAGAGGAGGUG